AACGAACGCUGGCGGCAUGCCUAACACAUGCAAGUCGAACGAAGGCUUCGGCCUUAGUGGCGCACGGGUGCGUAACGCGUGGGAAUCUGCUCCUCGGUUCGGAAUAACAGUUAGAAAUGACUGCUAAUACCGGAUGAUGACUUCGGUCCAAAGAUUUAUCGCCGAGGGAUGAGCCCGCGUAAGAUUAGGUAGUUGGUGGGGUAAAGGCCUACCAAGCCGACGAUCUUUAGCUGGUCUGAGAGGAUGAUCAGCCACACUGGGACUGAGACACGGCCCAGACUCCUACGGGAGGCAGCAGUGGGGAAUAUUGGACAAUGGGCGAAAGCCUGAUCCAGCAAUGCUGCGUGAGUGAUGAAGGCCUUAGGGUUGUAAAGCUCUUUUACCAGGGACGAUAAUGACAGUACCUGGAGAAUAAGCUCCGGCUAACUCCGUGCCAGCAGCCGCCGUAA
rnacentral:rRNA from 1 species